rfam:Ornithorhynchus anatinus chromosome 4, whole genome shotgun sequence.
ACCCUCUCAGUGCUGCACCUGGAGAGUUUCCAGUACUCUACCAGUCUCGACUUCGAGAGAGAGAGUCAAGCAGGGGCUUACCCAUUCCAUUCCUAGCUUGGCCAAUGGCUAGCGAGGGGAAGGCAAUCUGCUACAAGU